rnacentral:rRNA from 1 species
UACGUAGGGGGCAAGCGUUGUCCGGAUUUAUUGGGCGUAAAGAGCGUGUAGGCGGCCUGGCAAGUCCGCUGUGAAAACUCGAGGCUUAACCUCGAGACGUCGGUGGAAACCAUCUGGCUAGAGUCCGGAAGAGGAGAGUGGAAUUCCUGGUGUAGCGGUGAAAUGCGCAGAUAUCAGGAAGAACACCCGUGGCGAAGGCGGCUCUCUGGGACGGUACUGACGCUGAGACGCGAAAGCGUGGGGAGCGAACAGG